rnacentral:rRNA from 1 species
UACGUAGGUGGCAAGCGUUGUCCGGAAUUAUUGGGCGUAAAGCGCGCGCAGGCGGUUUCUUAAGUCUGAUGUGAAAUCCCACGGCUUAACCGUGGAAGGUCAUUGGAAACUGGGAGACUUGAGUGCAGAAGAGAAGAGCGGAAUUCCACGUGUAGCGGUGAAAUGCGUAGAGAUGUGGAGGAACACCAGUGGCGAAGGCGGCUCUUUGGUCUGUAACUGACG